rnacentral:rRNA from 1 species
UACGUAGGCAGCAAGCGUUGUUCGGAGUUACUGGGCGUAAAGGGUGCGUAGGCGGAUAUGUAAGUCAGUGGUGAAAUCUCUAGGCUUAACCUGGAAAUUGCCGUUGAUACUAUAUAUCUUGAAUGUUGUGGAGGUAAGCAGAAUAUGUCAUGUAGCGGUGAAAUGCUUAGAUAUGACAUAGAAUACCUAUUGCGAAGGCAGCUUACUACGCAGAUAUUGACGCUCAUGCACGAAAGCGUGGGGAUCAAACAGG